rnacentral:tRNA from 1 species
GGGCUCGUAGCUCAGCUGGUUAGAGCGUUACGUUGACAUCGUAAAGGUCGCCCGUUCGAGUCGGGCCGAGCCCA